UACGUAGGGUGCAAGCGUUGUCCGGAAUUAUUGGGCGUAAAGAGCUCGUAGGCGGUCUGUCGCGUCUGCUGUGAAAACUCGGGGCUUAACCCCCGGGCCUGCAGUGGGUACGGGGCAGACUAGAGUGCGGUAGGGGGAGACUGGAAUUCCUGGUGUAGCGGGUGAAAUGCGCAGAUAUCAGGAGGAACACCGGUGGCGAAGGGCGGGUCUC
rnacentral:rRNA from 1 species